CAACUACAUCUACUACAGUAACAGCACGUCCACAGGAACUGCUGGAUUAUUAUACAGAGUGAUUGUGAGUAUUGUUGAGAUGGCAGUGUUUGCUGCUCCUACUGUGAUUCUUCUUCAGAUCAUCUGUGCAAGAAGAGCUGGGAGGAAGAACUCGAGACACCCGGAAGA